UUUUGGUUUUUGUAUAUUCAUUUACCAUUUGGUUUUGCCUCCUGCAGGAUCUGAUGUCUCCUGAAGAGAGCCAAGUGGUCAAACACAAUGUUCCACGAAAAUUCAGUAUCAAGAUAUUUGAUGCUUGGAGCUAUCAUUAAAGAGGCGGCUGACUUCCUAGAAUAUCUGAUUCCGUUUCAAUAUCCUUUGGCAACUCUUAUCUCAGAUUCAACCCAUGGCAUCUGAGAGUGAGCGCUGCCAGGAAGAGGACUAUACUUGAAGGAACAGAGGACCUCUAACCUGUGGGAAACCUGCACUUCUUCUCCAACCCCAAAUACUAAAUUAGGUCUAGAAAACUGGAAAACUCAAUUAUUUAUUCUAUAUAGCUGCAUUCCUCAGAAUUCCUGUGUUUUUAGUGUUUUAUAUUUUUUAAUCACAAAAAACAUGACCCAAGUUUAAGAAGCCUCAAGGCAGAAUCAGAAACAUAUAUUUAUUCUACAUGUCUUGAAAUGCUGUUAAUCUACAGGGAAAAAUAAAAGAAAAUGUCUUCUUGGGUACUUAGUAAGCGAAGAUGUUCUUGCAUGAGAAGUGCCCAUGAAAAGAAAUUUGUAGUUAAUGGAUAUAAUGCUUAUUUUAAUAGAUAAACAAUUUCAUACUCAAUAAAAGUAAUGCAGAUGCAUUUUGCUCUUCCUUUACAUGUUGAGAAUGUACAGGGUCAUUACAGGUUCUGUGACGGUAAUAAUCACUUGCUGAAAUGAAAGCAGUCAAAUGUGCAGCUCAAUAGUCAUUGUUUUAUAGUUAGCCAUUUGUUUUUUCAAUAGCAGUUUACAAAGCAUUUUACUAUUGUGUUAUAUUUUAC